GCACUGCUGAAGAGUCCCACAAUAAAGUGAAACGGCCGUCCAGUGU
rfam:Schistosoma haematobium scaffold49_4, whole genome shotgun sequence.